rnacentral:tRNA from 1 species
GGGGUGUGGCUCAGUGGCAGAGCACUUGCCUAGCAUGUGCAAGGGCCUGGGUUCCAUCCCCAGCACCACCA